rnacentral:rRNA from 1 species
CAGUAGCCGCGGUAAUACGGAGGGGGCUAGCGUUGUUCGGAAUUACUGGGCGUAAAGCGCACGUAGGCGGCUUGGUAAGUUAGAGGUGAAAGCCUGGAGCUCAACUUCAGAAUUGCCUUUAAGACUGCCGAGCUAGUAGGUGAGAGAGGUAAGUGGAAUUCCGAGUGUAGAGGUGAAAUUCGUAGAUAUUCGGAAGAACACCAGUGGCGAUGGCGGCUUACUGGCUCAUUCUAGACGCUGAGGUGCGAAAGCGUGGGGAGCAAACAGGAUUAGAUACCCCGGUAGUCCCUGUCUCUUAUAU